rnacentral:tRNA from 1 species
GCGCCAGUAGUCCAGGAGUUAAGACGCUUCCCUGCCACGGAAGUGACCCGGGUGCGAAUCCCGGCUGGCGCA